rnacentral:rRNA from 1 species
GAUGAACGCUGGCGGCGUGCCUAAUACAUGCAAGUCGAGCGAACGGACGAGAAGCUUGCUUCUCUGAUGUUAGCGGCGGACGGGUGAGUAACACGUGGAUAACCUACCUAUAUGACUGGGAUAACUUCGGGAAACCGUAGCUAAUACCGGAUAAUAUUUUGAACCGCAUGGUUCAAAAGUGAAAGACGGUCUUGCUGUCACUUAUAGAUGGAUCCGCGCUGCAUUAGCUAGUUGGUAAGGUAACGGCUUACCAAGGCAACGAUGCAUAGCCGACCUGAGAGGGUGAUCGGCCACACUGGAACUGAGACACGGUCCAGACUCCUACGGGAGGCAGCAGUAGGGAAUCUGCCGCAAUGGGCGGAAGCCUGACGGAGCAGCGCCGCGUGAGUGAUGAGGAUCUUCGGAUCGUAAAACUCUGUUAUUAGGGAAGAACAUAUGUGUAAGUAACUGUGCACAUCUUGACGGUACCUAAUCAGAAAGCCACGGCUAACUACGUG